GGAGGGGUGGCCGAGCCCGGCUUAAGGCGGCGGUCUUGAAAAUCGCUGUGGGUGAUGAGCCCACCGGGGGUUCGAAUCCCUCCCCCUCCG
rnacentral:tRNA from 1 species